rnacentral:siRNA from 1 species
AAGAUUGUAUUGGCUGAGUGAUAG